rnacentral:rRNA from 1 species
GCUUAACCGGAGAAGUGCAUCGGAAACUGGGAGACUUGAGUGCAGAAGAGGACAGUGGAACUCCAUGUGUAGCGGUGGAAUGCGUAGAUAUAUGGAAGAACACCAGUGGCGAAGGCGGCUGUCUAGUCUGUAACUGACGCUGAGGCUCGAAAGCAUGGGUAGCGAACAGGAUUAGGUACCCUGGUAGUCCAUGCCGUAAACGAUGAGUGCUAAGUGUUGGAGGGUUUCCGCCCUUCAGUGCUGCAGCUAACGCAUUAAGCACUCCGCCUGGGGAGUACGACCGCAAGGUUGAAACUCAAAGGAAUUGACGGGGGCCCGCACAAGCGGUGGAGCAUGUGGUUUAAUUCGAAGCUACGCGGAGAACCUUACCAGGUCUUGACAUCUUCUGCCAAUCUUAGAGAUAAGACGUUCCCUUCGGGGACAGAAUGACAGGUGGUGCAUGGUUGUCGUCAGCUCGUGUCGUGAGAUGUUGGGUUAAGUCCCGCAACGAGCGCAACCCUUAUUAUCAGUUGCCAGCAUUCAGUUGGGCACUCUGGUGAGACUGCCGGUGACAAACCGGAGGAAGGUGGGGAUGACGUCAAAUCAUCAUGCCCCUUAUGACCUGGGCUACACACGUGCUACAAUGGACGGUACAACG